CUCUUUCCUUUCCUUUUCACGGGCGAAGCAAGCAUGAGAAAACCAACAUUGGGCUAGUGAGCCCAUUACAAAACUAGGCUAGUCAAAUGGACAAGGCCCUCACAUUACUUCACCCAUUCGGUGCAUGAGACACGUGAAUCCUCCAUUCACACAAACUUCACCAGCCACCAUAUAACCACUCAAAUUUAAAUCUUUUGGACAUGGCUAAUACACUAGG
rnacentral:lncRNA from 1 species